rnacentral:tRNA from 1 species
ACCGCGAUAGCUCAGUUGGUAGAGUAUCUGCUCGGUGAGCGGAUAUUUGCCGGCUCGAUCCCGGCUAGCGGCG